rnacentral:rRNA from 1 species
UGGCGAACGGGUGAGUAACACGUGGGCAACCUGCCCAAAAGAGGGGAUAACACUUGGAAACAGGUGCUAAUACCGCAUAACCAUAGUUACCGCAUGGUAACUAUGUAAAAGGUGGCUAUGCUACCGCCUUUGGAUGGGCCCGCGGCGCAUUAGCUAGUUGGUGGGGUAAAGGCUUACCAAGGCAAUGAUGCGUAGCCGAACUGAGAGGUUGAUCGGCCACAUUGGGACUGAGACACGGCCCAAACUCCUACGGGAGGCAGCAG